rnacentral:rRNA from 1 species
GAUGAACGCUAGCGGCAGGCUUAAUACAUGCAAGUCGAGGGGCAGCAUGACUGUAGCAAUACAGUUGAUGGCGACCGGCAAACGGGUGCGGAACACGUACAGAACCUUCCUUCGAGCGGGGAAUAGCCCAGAGAAAUUUGGAUUAAUACCCCAUAGUACAACGGAGUGGCAUCACUUUGUUGUUAAAGAUUUAUCACUUGAAGAUGGCUGUGCGGCUGAUUAGGGUAGUUGGCGGGGUAACGGCCCACCAAGCCUGCGAUCAGUAACUAGUGUGAGAGCACGACCAGUCACACGGGCACUGAGACACGAGCCCCGACUCCUACGGGAGGCAGCAGUAAGGAAUAUUGGUCAAUGGACGAAAGUCUGAACCAGCCAUGCCGCGUGGAGGAUGAAGGUCCUCUGGAUUGUAAACCUCUUUUAUAUUGGGACGAAAAAAGGGUUUUCUAACUCGUCUGACGGUACCAUAUGAAUAAGCACCGGCUAACUCCGUGCCAGCAGCC